AAUUCAUCAAAAAUGUAUAGACUAAUUUACAAUUCAUUUUUCAUGAUAUGAAAUCAAAUUGACGAUGUAGGAUACCAUUCCCAGCAUUUGUGACGUGUUUUUACCAAUAAGAAUUUUGAAUUUAUAAUUGAUGGACCAUGUGCAGAAUAAUUUAUACAACAAUGAAAAAAAAGUAGCCACAUAAUAAAAUGCAAUUGCGGAACCGAAGAUGAGAAGCUUCAACCGUCCACUAGCAAUCGUAACCACCCACAUGACGCCGUUCAUUCAUCCACAAUCAUUUCCUCCGCUUUAAUGGGACGCACCACCUACGACCGCGGUCGUUCAGAACACGGAGGGGAGAGGAAACGCCGCCAGGUUCGCGAAUACCUGCGGAUGA